rnacentral:rRNA from 1 species
AACGAACGCUGGCGGCGUGCUUAAUACAUGCAAGUCGAGCGGACCCAGCAGAUUGUCUCUGGUUUCCAGAGACAAUCUGCGACGGUUAGCGGCGAACGGGUGAGUAACGCGUGGGUAAUCUGCCCCCAAGACCGGGAUAACAGUGCGAAAGCGCUGCUAAUACCGGAUAAUCUCUUCUUGUCGCAUGAUAGGGAGAGCAAAGCUCCGGCGCUUGGGGAUGAGCCCGCGUUCCAUUAGCUAGUUGGUGAGGUAACGGCUCACCAAGGCGACGAUGGAUAGCCGGCCUGAGAGGGUGACCGGCCUCACUGGGACUGAGACACGGCCCAGACUCCUACGGGAGGCAGCAGUAGGGAAUUUUCGGCAAUGGGGGAAACCCUGACCGAGCAACGCCGCGUGGGGGAAGAAGGCCUUCGGGUCGUAAACCUCUGUCUUUGGGGACGAUAAUGACGGUACCCGAGGAGGAAGCCCCGGCUAACUACGUGCCAGCAGCCCGCGGUAAUACGUAGGGGGCGAGCCGUUGUCCGGAAUCACUGGGCGUGAAGGGCGUGUAGGCGGCCUGUUAAUCAGCGUGAAAACCCCGGGCUUAACCUGGGGACUG